GACGAACGCUGGCGGCGUGCUUAACACAUGCAAGUCGAACGGAAAGGCCCUGCUUUUGUGGGGUGCUCGAGUGGCGAACGGGUGAGUAACACGUGAGUAACCUGCCCUUGACUUUGGGAUAACUUCAGGAAACUGGGGCUAAUACCGGAUAGGAGCUCCUGCUGCAUGGUGGGGGUUGGAAAGUUUCGGCGGUUGGGGAUGGACUCGCGGCUUAUCAGCUUGUUGGUGGGGCAGUGGCUUACCAAGGCUUUGACGGGUAGCCGGCCUGAGAGGGUGACCGGCCACAUUGGGACUGAGAUACGGCCCAGACUCCUACGGGAGGCAGCAGUGGGGAAUAUUGCACAAUGGGCGGAAGCCUGAUGCAGCAACGCCGCGUGCGGGAUGAAGGCCUUCGGGUUGUAAACCGCUUUCGCCUGUGACGAAGCGUGAGUGACGGUAAUGGGUAAAGAAGCACCGGCUAACUACGUG
rnacentral:rRNA from 1 species